rnacentral:rRNA from 1 species
CCUACGGGAGGCAGCAGUGGGGAAUAUUGCACAAUGGGGGAAACCCUGAUGCAGCGACGCCGCGUGAGUGAAGAAGUAUUUCGGUAUGUAAAGCUCUAUCAGCAGGGAAGAUAAUGACGGUACCUGAGUAAGAAGCCCCGGCUAACUACGUGCCAGCAGCCGCGGUAAUACGUAGGGGGCAAGCGUUAUCCGGAUUUACUGGGUGUAAAGGGAGCGUAGACGGCAUGGCAAGUCUGAAGUGAAAGCCGGGGGCUCAACCGCGGGACUGGUUUGGAAACUGUUAAGCUGGAGUGCAGGAGAGGUAAGUGGAAGUCCUAGUGUAGCGGUGAAAUGCGGAGAUAUUAGGAGGAACACCAGUGGCGAAGGCGGCUUACUGGACUGUAACUGACGUUGAGGCUCGAAAGCGUGGGGAGCAAACAGGAUUAGAUACCCGAGUAGUC